UGCUGUGAUAAUGCCCAACAUAAGAAGUGCCGUCAGAUGCGAGAACUGAUGAGAGUCUCCACCUGGCUGACU